GGAGCGAAUAUUGCACAAUGGGCGCAAGCCUGAUGCAGCCAUGCCGCGUGUGUGAAGAAGGCCUUCGGGUUGUAAAGCACUUUCAGUCGUGAGGAAGGGGGUGUAGUUAAUAGCUGCAUUAUUUGACGUUAGCGACAGAAGAAGCACCGGCUAACUCCGUGCCAGCAGCCGCGGUAAAUAAAAAAA
rnacentral:rRNA from 1 species